rnacentral:rRNA from 1 species
AACGAACGCUGGCGGCAGGCCUAACACAUGCAAGUCGAGCGCGCCCUUCGGGGUGAGCGGCGGACGGGUUAGUAACGCGUGGGAAUAUACCCGACACUAAGGAAUAGCCUCUGGAAACGGAGAGUAAUACCUUAUACGCCCUUCGGGGGAAAGGAUUUAUCGGUGACGGAUUAGCCCGCGUUAGAUUAGAUAGUUGGGUGGGGGUAAGUGGCCUACCCAAGUCUACGAUCUAUAGCUGGUUUUAGGAGGAUGAUCAGCAACACUGGGACGUGAGACACGGCCCACGACUCCUACGGGAGGCAGCAGUGGGGAAGUCUUGGACAAUGGGCGGCAGGCCUGAUCCAGCCAUGCCGCGUGAGUGAUGAAGGCCUUAGGGUCGUAAAGCUCUUUCGCCAGAGAUGAUAAUGACAGUAUCUGGUAAAGAAACCCCGGCUAACUCCGUGCCAGCAGCCGCAGU